rnacentral:tRNA from 1 species
GGGGGCGUAGCUCAAUUUGGUUAGAGUGCUUGACUGUCGAUCAAGAUGUUGCGGGUUCGAGUCCCGUCGCUCCCG